rnacentral:lncRNA from 1 species
AAUGACAAUACCCCCUACUUUCUGCCCAACAACCAGACCUUCGUGAUCAUCCCAGAGCUUGUGUUGCCCAACCAGCAGGUGGCUUCUGUCCAGGCCAGAGAUGAGGACUCGGAAGACAACGGGAUCAUCAAGUUCUCCAUCCUGAAAGCAGAUUUCGUCCCCAAGGACGGGGCUACCAACCCUGUCCAGGUCUUCCGGAUUUCCCAAUCAGUGGAAGCUGGCCUGUACACUGGCAGCAUCGAGUAAUGUGACGAUGGGUGCCUGGGUGGGGUGGGGUGGGGAGCCCAAGCCUGAGGCAGGGUCUCCGUCCCGGAAGGUGUACAGGUGGUUUCUCAGUAGCACUGUAAGAACCCAGGCUAGCUUACAGAAUAAAGCUAUGUCAUUACUUCUCUCAUAGGCUGGUGACCAACCUUGAUUCCACUCUCCAAGGUACAUACCAGGUGACAGUCCAGGCCCAGGACCAGCCCGCUAUGGAUCCUGCCCUCGAAACACAGACCACUCUGAAUCUCUUCACUGUGGACCAGAGCUACCGAGUGAGGCUGCAGUUCUCCACCAGCAGGGAGGAUGUUGGUGCCAAUAUGGAGGAGAUUAAGGCGGCCCUUAUCCAGGCGACCAGGACCUCUGUGUACGUUGUGACAAUCCAGAACAUAGACUCUAUGGCUCGGGCCCGAGUCAACUCCUACAUGGACGCUUACUUUGUCUUCUCCAAUGGGUCAGCCCUGACUCUUACCGAGCUGAAUGU